GACAGAGGGUGCAAACGUUGUUCAGAAUUACUGGGCGUAAAGCGAGUGUAGGCGGUUUCGUAAGUCUGGUGUGAAAGCCCGGGGCUCACCCCCGGAAGUGCGCUGGAAACUGGUCGGCUAGAGUAUGGGAGAGGAAAGUGGAAUUCCCGGUGUAGCGGUGAAAUGCGUAGAUAUCCGGAGGAACACCGGUGGCGAAGGCGGCUUCCUGGACCGACACUGACGCUGAGGCGCGAAAGCCAGGGGAGCAAACGGG
rnacentral:rRNA from 1 species